AAAAAGAUAAGCUAAUAAAGCUAAUGGGUUCAUACCCCUUUUAUGAAGGUAAAAGUCCUUCUCUUUUUA
rnacentral:tRNA from 1 species